rnacentral:rRNA from 1 species
UUUUAUUAUGCUGGGAGGGCAUAUCCGCCGAAUUUAAGCAUAUAAUUAAGCGGAAGAAAAGAAAAUAACAAUGAUUCCUUUAGUAACGGCGAGUGAACAAGGAAAAGCUCAAAAGGAAAAUCCGCUUUGUGGUUAAAACCGCAGUGUGGAAUUGUCUGGUUGGGAUUUAGUCCUUUCUAUGUUUUUGUUGGGUGCGAAAUUAGUAGGAAUACUAUUCCUUAGAGGGUGAAAGGCCCGUAGUUCCUAACAAUUAUAGAUGGACUGUUUCCUGUAGAGUCGUGUUCUUUGAGAUUGGAGCACAAAUGUGUGUGAUACAUUUCACAUAAAGCUAAAUAUUUGUAGGAGACCGAUAGCAAACAAGUACCGUGAGGGAAAGAUGAAAUAGUACUCAGGAAUGAGGUUUAAAUAGUACCUGAAAUCGUUAAGAUGGAACGGAUUGAGAGAGA